GCAUAAGUUCUCAGUUCUCAUUCUCAACACUCUACUACUCCACGCACGGAUGAAAAUAUGUCGGGAUUUUUUUCCAAAGUGGCUACAUAUGGCCAAAGAACUAUUGCUUUAGGAAUGAGCACACUGACUGUUUAUCUACUGUAUCUUACAGCUAAAGGAGCAUAUAUUAUGAGGCAAAAACGUCUAGAACGUGUAAGACUUAUGGAGUUAAAUGAAGGACAAUCUUUAAAUGACGUCGCAAAGGAAAAGUAAAAUAUAUAAGACCAUGCCACUGCAACUGCCAAGAUUCCAUAGGAUUAUCUGAUUUGUACGAAAGGAUAAAGUUGAAAGAAGUGGAAAAAUGGGAUAAAAUGCAUGGUCACCUUCAAAGCGCCAGUGCAGAUUGUCAUUCAUCAGGAAAAAAACAAUAUAUUAAAAAAACAAUUAUUUUGGUGAAGUUGCUUGGGUUUGCUGUGGUGCCCUAAAUAACUUCCAGAAAUUUGUAAAUAGUGUAUCUACAAAUCUUAUUAUCUACAAUGUACCACCAAUUCAUCCAAAGUUCAUUUCUAAGUCAAGCCUUAAGGUUGUUACAAGUAGUCUGAUGAUCUGAAAUAAUCAUUAUUUUGUACUAUAUCCUAAAGAGUGUCUAAAGGCUAAUAAAUAUGUUAAUUUUAGUCUUCAGCAUUUCUGUUAUCAAUUUUUUUGAAUACUGGUUUCAAGCAUAGACAGUCUCACUCUAAAGCGGUACUUAUGUCAAACAAUUCAAAUUAAUAAUAAAUUAAUAAAUUUGUGAUGCCCUGUGA